rnacentral:rRNA from 1 species
CUUGGAAGCAGCCAUUCAUUUAAAGAGUGCGUAACAGCUCACUAGUCGAGGAGUCCGGCGUGGAUAAUACUCGGGCAUAAACUGUUUACCGAAGCUAUGGAUGUAGAAAUACAUGGUAGGGGAGCAUUCCAACGGCGUUGAAGGUGAAGGAUGACCUUUGCUGGAGCUUUUGGAAACGCAAAUGUAGGUAUAAGUAACGAUAAAGGAGGUGAGAAACCUCCUCGCCGAAAGACUAAGGUUUCCUGAUCAACGUUAAUCGGAUCAGGGUAAGUCGGGACCUAAGGUUAAGCCGAACGGCGAUACCGAUGGAAGAAUGGUUUAAUAUUCCCAUACUACUUUAUGGAGCGAUGUGGAGACGGAGAAGUGAAAGUCCUGCCAUCUGACGGAAUAGGUGGUUGAAGAGUGUAGAUGUAGAUUCCUGUAGGCAAAUCCGCAGGGAGAGUCGACCUUGACAGUAUGCCGCGUGCUUGCACAAGGCAAAAUGGACGUAAUCAGGCUCCCAAGAAAAUCCGCUAAGCAUAUUCAUAAAGUACCCGUACCGUAAACGGACACACGUAGUUGGGUUGAAAAUACUGAGGCGCUCGAGUGAUUCACGGUUAAGGAACUAGGCAAAUUGACCCUGUAACUUCGGGAUAAAGGGUCCCUACUGAGAGGUAGGGCGCAGAGAAUAGGUCCAGGCAACUGUUUAACAAAAACACAUGGCUGUGCGAAAUAGAAAUAUGAAGUAUACAGCCUGACACCUGCCCGGUGCUGGAAGGUUAAGAGGAGAUGUCAUCGCAAGAGAAGCAUUGAAUUGAAGCCCCAGUAAACGGCGGCCGUAACUAUAACGGUCCUAAGGUAGCGAAAUUCCUUGUCGGGUAAGUUCCGACCUGCACGAAUGGUGUAAUGAUCUGGACACUGUCUCAACCGUGAGCUCAGUGAAAUUGUAGUAUCGGUGAAGAUGCCGAUUACCCGCGAUGGGACGAAAAGACCCCGUGAACCUUUACUAUAGCUUUACAUUGAAUUUGGGCAAUCGAUGUGUAGGAUAGGCCGGAGACCGUGAAGCAGGUACGCCAGUAUUUGUGGAGUCGCCGUUGAAAUACGGCCCUUUGGUUGUUUGAGUUCUAACCCGCAGAAGCGGGGACACUGUAUGGUGGGUAGUUUGACUGGGGUGGUCGCCUCCAAAAGAGUAACGGAGGCUUCUAAAGGUACCCUCAGACCGAUUGGUAACCGGUCGUAGAGUGUAAUGGCAUAAGGGUGCUUGAC